GACGAACGCUGGCGGCGUGCCUAAUACAUGUAAGUAGAACGCUGAAGGAGGAGCUUGCUUCUCUGGAUGAGUUGCGAACGGGUGAGUAACGCGUAGGUAACCUGCCUGGUAGCGGGGGAUAACUAUUGGAAACGAUAGCUAAUACCGCAUAAGAGUAGAUGUCGCAUGACAUUUGCUUAAAAGGUGCAAUUGCAUCACUACCAGAUGGACCUGCGUUGUAUUAGCUAGUUGGUGAGGUAACGGCUCACCAAGGCAACGAUACAUAGCCGACCUGAGAGGGUGAUCGGCCACACUGGGACUGAGACACGGCCCAGACUCCUACGGGAGGCAGCAGUAGGGAAUCUUCGGCAAUGGACGGAAGUCUGACCGAGCAACGCCGCGCGAGUGAAGAAGGUUUUCGGAUCGUAAAGCUCUGUUGUAAGAGAAGAACGAGUGUGAGAGUGGAAAGUUCACACUGUGACGGUAUCUUACCAGAAAGGGACGGCUAACUACGUG
rnacentral:rRNA from 1 species